GCUCUGGACUCUGCGUAUAACAG
rnacentral:miRNA from 1 species